CCUUGUUUGGCAGCACAACACUCUGCUGGCUAGAAUGCAACUCUGAUACAAAGCUAAUAAAUCAUCGUCCUCUCUUCCUGAGGAAAGGCCCAUUCCUCUCCAUCGUAACUCUCACAUUGUGUAAUUGAUGCCACACUUCCAAAUAACACAUUCUUUUCAUUUGUAUCUGUGUGUUACUAGAGUGCAGACCAUGAAAAAUGGGUAGGUCCAUUUGCUCGCUCAGUGCCUCGUCAGCCUGCAUGACCAUGUAUCUGAAUGAUUAACGGUCCCGAUGAAAGUUCCCCUGCUUUCUCAUGCCUAUUACUUGAUUGUCAUUAAGAUCACUAGUCAUGUAUAUAUACUAAAUGAUACAUUCAGAAAGCUGAAAAUGUCAACAUGGACAGCACUAAUACUGAGCAACCUCUGAAUUCAGUACGACAAUAGAUGUAACAGCGUGCUUGUCCAAAUGCAUUAAUUUUAGCAGAUGAAGUUCACACCACGCCAUCACUCACUGCUCCGGAGACAAUCCAUUUCCUGUGACGGGGUCCUAAACUGUAACUUAUGACAAUCCUGAAAUAGACAUUGGUGCUGUCGCCUUGUGCACAUAAGUCAAAUGAAGCCUGGCUCUUACAGUGUCACCCAUGUUUUAAAGAUGUUCCUCUUUUGUUUUGCGCGUGCAGCUCUGUUUUCUCUGGGUUUGGUUUCACAUUUCAUUUGAUGAUUUUGAAUGUUCUGAAAUCUGUUGUGAUUUCAGUGUGUUCCUUUCCAACCUUUUACUUUCUCCCAGAUUUUGUGCCCGUUGAUUUUGUUUUUAAUCACACUUGUAUUUGCAUAACAUUGUAUUACUGUUAUGUUGGAAGCAUUCAGUUAUGACUAAUGUCAAUAUUCGGAUGCUUUUCACAUCACCUCUCCUGGAAACACCUGCUAAAUGAGAAUGUUGCACUUUAGAAUAUAAUUCUGUUGUCCACAGAGGUAGAAACAUAUCUUUUACUCACCAAUACCAGAAAAAGCAAGGACAACGUAAAGCAGCCGAUGUUCAGCUGCCGGAGUCACCUCUUGUUGAACUUUCUGCUCUGGUUAUUACUAGCUUGUGUUAUGGGAAUGCUUUCUACUUGAGUCAAACCACAGUCAGCAGUGGG
rnacentral:lncRNA from 1 species